CCCUUAGAUGUUCUGGGCCGCACGCGUGCUACACUGAGUGGGUCAGCGGGUCAGGUUACGCGAGAGCGUUUCCUAAUCUUCAAAUCCGCUCGUGAUGGGGAUUGACGGUUGCAAUUUUCCGUCAUGAACGAGGAAUACCUUGUAAGCGCGGGUCAUCAUCCCGCGCUGAAUACGUCCCUGCCCUUUGUACACACCGCCCGUCGCUCCUACCGAUUGAGUGGUCCGGUGAGGCUUUGGGAUCUAAGCGAAAAGAGCGUUUCGCUCCUUUUGCUGGGAGAACUCAGUCGAACCUUAUCAUUUAGAGGAAGGAGAAGUCGUAACA
rnacentral:rRNA from 1 species